rnacentral:lncRNA from 1 species
GUGGCUGGGCAUUCUCGAACCUACGACUGAACUCAUCAUUCAUUGCCGCCAGCAUAAUGCACCAAACGGUGGUGUGGUCGUUGAGCCACUUCUGAUAAGUAUCUCGGACCGUCCCUCUAACGUUCGGGGCUGGCUCCUCAGGUGCCAGAUCCGUUACUACAUAAAGGAUUCGCUCAUGCUCAAGGAUGAUUUUUAAUUUUCGAUACCAGCUAUCGAAAUUAGGUCCCAUGAGCUUGUCAUUAUCUAAUAAUGACCGGAGGGACAAGGUAGUGGCCAUAGCUGCAUAAAAGAAAAUCAGACCUCUAUUAGUACAUAAAUUAUAAAUACUAAAGAUUUGGACUUUAGUCUAAAGUUUCUCCCAGUAUUUUUACGAACUGGUAGCCUCA